rnacentral:rRNA from 1 species
GCCCUAGUACGGCGAGUGAAGCGGCAACAGCUCAAAUUUGAAAUCUGGCUCUAGGGCCCGAGUUGUAAUUUGCAGAGGAUGAUUUUGGCGCGGUGCCUUCCGAGUUCCCUGGAACGGGACGCCUUAGAGGGUGAGAGCCCCGUACGGUUGGACACCAAGCCUCUGUAAAUCUCCUUCGACGAGUCGAGUAGUUUGGGAAUGCUGCUCUAAAUGGGAGGUAAAUUUCUUCUAAAGCUAAAUACCGGCCAGAGACCGAUAGCGCACAAGUAGAGUGAUCGAAAGAUGAAAAGCACUUUGAAAAGAGGGUUAAAUAGCACGUGAAAUUGUUGAAAGGGAAGCAUUUACUACCAGACCUUCUCCCUGCGGAUCAUGCGGUGUUUUCACCGCUGCACUUCGCUUGGUUUAGGCCAGCAUCGGUUUUCGUAGGGGGAUAAAAGCAUUAGGAACGUAGCUCCCUCGGGAGUGUUAUAGCCUUUUGCAUAAUACCCUUAUGGGGACCGAGGACCGCGCUUUUGCAAGGAUGCUGGCAUAAUGGUAGUCAAUGACCCGUCUUGAAACACGGACCAAGGAGUCGAACAUUUGUGCGAGUGUUUGGGUGUUAAACCCUCACGCGUAAUGAAAGUGAACGUAGGUGAGAGCCCUUACGGGUGCAUCAUCGACCGAUCUUGAUGCCUUCGGAUGGAUUUGAGUAAGAGCAUAACUGUUCGGACCCGAAAGAUGGUGAACUAUGCGUGGAUAGGGUGAAGCCAGAGGAAACUCUGGUGGAGGCUCGCAGCGGUUCUGACGUGCAAAUCGAUCGUCAAAUCUGCGCAUGGGGGCGAAAGACUUAUCGAACCAUUAAACCAGCGGUAAAAAUAUUUACUAGGUGGUUAAGAGGCCCUCUGUAAAGAGAAAAAGGCCUAGGUGACCUACCCUGGAAGAUGCUACCCUGCACUUUCGGGUGGGCUAUCGACAUCGCUAAAUUGCGGGAACAUCCUACUGUAAGGCUAGGGGUUACCGCCGCCUGCUGAAAAGCCCGGCGGCACUGGGAGUAGCGCUCUCAGGUGUGGUAAAAACGCCCUUGGUAUCGGACGACCUGCAGCCAACCCCGCACUCUAGGGGAGGGUUCACAGACUAAACAGCGAUGGGUCAGCCGUUGCUGGCCUAAGACAUAGUCGAUCUGGGGCCUGAAAAGGUGCCCUGCAGCGG